rnacentral:rRNA from 1 species
AUGCACUUCCAUGAAAGAGACAACUUGGAGAGAUCCCUCUGCAUUUCAGACAUCACAUAUCACAAUUUGGUAGAAUUAAUAGAGACAGAGGGAUAUGGGCUGAAUGAUUACAUUUACUUUGUGAGGGAGCCUGGUGUGGGUAUUGAAGGAUUGGUAGAAAUUUCUGAUGAUGACAAGGUGGAUGAAAUGCUUGACCAUAUUGCUAAUAAGGAUCAGACUGUAGUGAAUUUGACAGUGAUUAGGGCCACUGAUCCAAGACCUGCAGAUUUGAAUGCAGGAUAUUUGUAUGAGGAGCAGGUUCCUUUGAGUCAAUUAGGAGAAAAACCUGUCUAUGAAGUCAAUCCUUCUGGAGUUCUAUUCAGAUCACCUGAGAAAUCAAAUAAACAGAGGCAGUCAGAGCCACUUCAGUUCUUUUCCACACAGCAGAGCACAAACUUAGAUAUUGCUAUGGAGCAAGAUGAGCAGGAGACACUAAUGGAGCUAAAGAGGAGAACCAAGAUUGAGAACUUUAGGAAACAUAAGGAGGCAUCUGAGCAUGUUCAAAUGGUUAAGCAAAAACUACCAGUUCUUCUAACUGAAGAUGACUCUGAUCUGGAUGCAGAUGAGGACUUUGUUGAAAGGCUUAAUGAUUUGAGGAGGCAGAGAGAGGACCCACUCCUUCAUUUUGAAGGAGACACUGAUGUGGAUGAAGUGUAUGGGGAAGAUGAGGAAGAGGAGCAAGUGGAGCAAGUGGAGCAAGUGGAGGAGGAUGAGCAGAUGGAGCAUGAGGAGGAGGAGCAGGUGGAGCAACAACAGGAGCCACCAAAGAAGAAGGAAAAAAGAAAAGGGCCAACCAACAGGUCACAUUCAAGCUUGGAGCAAAGAUUUGAGGAUGUGUGGGUACCAUCAUCAGAUGAGGAGAUAGAUGUAGGUGAUUUGGAGCAGGAAUAUGAUGAUGGAGCUGAGAAUGCACCUUUUAUUCUGCCCAAUGGAAGGAAGAGCGGAGCAUAUAAAGCACAACCAAGGAAGUGGUACAGUGAAGAAAGAGAGAACCCAGAGGAGCAGUUAUGUAGAAAGCUUUGUUUCCUUAAUGUGUACCAAUUUAGGAGAGCACUUCAGACAUUUCACGUAAGUCAGAAUAGGAAAUAUGACUUCCACAGAAACUGCAAUGACAUCAUCAUAGUUGUGUGCACUAAUGUAAAAUGUCCUUUCUACAUUGCAGCUUCGGUUGUUGCAAAUGAAACUACUUUUUGCAUCAGAAAGGCUAAUUUUCCGCACACAUGCCCAGCAGUAGCAGAGAAUACAAAGGUCACAACAAAAUGGGUGGCACACCAGUGUCAGGAUAUGCUGAGAAUUGAUAUUGGCACACCAAUCACCACAAUAAUGCAGAAUUUGAAGAAGAAAUAUGGAGUAGAGAUCUCAACCCAUAUGGCCUAUAGGGCUAGGAAAGAAGCAUUGAAGGUUGUCCAAGGAGACCAGAGAGGUCAAUACACUAGGAUUAGAGAUUAUUUGCAGGCUGUUUUGGACACAAACCCAGGAAGUAGAUGUGUUGUGACCACUAAGCAUUUGCCACAGCACCCAAGCAAGAACCCAAGGUUCCAUGGCCUGUUCUACUGUCUUAAUGCUUGCAAAGAAGGGUUUUUAAAUGGAUGUAGGCCAUUCAUAGGGGUAGAUGGUUGUUUUAUCAAGCUGUCAAUAGGUCAGCAGAUCCUUGCUGCAACAGGAAGGGAUGGAAACAACAACAUAUACCCUAUAGCAUUUGGAGUUGUUGACAAAGAGGACACAGAUAGCUGGACCUGGUUCUUAACACAACUGAAAGAAGCACUUGGUGGAGAAAGUGGAAAGUUUGGGUAUUAUACUAUCAUUUCUGAUAGGCAGAAGGGCCUUUUAAAUGCAGUAAACCAUGUUUUUCCCAAUUGUCCACAAAGAUUCUGCCUUAGACACAUUUAUCAGAAUUUCCAAACUGCUGGUUUUAGAGGUGAUGAGUUAAAGAAACACAUGGAUGCAGCUAGCUACUCUUAUACUAAGAAUGAACACCUAAAUGCAAUGAAUGAUUUGAAAAGAGAGUGUAAGGCAGCUUGGGCAUGGCUUAAUAAAGUACCAGUUCAUAGAUGGGCUAGACAUGCAAUGGAUUUUACAUGCAAGACUGACCUAGUUGUGAACAACAUCAGUGAGGUGUUUAACAAAAUGAUCCUAGAUGUUAGAGGGAAGCCAAUAAAGACCAUGCUGGAAGGAAUUAGGACUAAAUUAAUGGUCAAAUUUAACACCAAUAGAACUAAGACAGAGACAGCAAAUUGGGAGAUUUUCCCAACAUAUGCAGAGAUGUUAGAGGAGGCAAAGUACAACUCAAGGUGGUGCCAAUCUUUGAUGGCUGGUCCUAACAUUUACCAAGUUAGUAGUGGAGAUAACACCUACUCAGUGAACUUGCUGCACAUAACAUGUGGGUGUAGGAAAUGGGAUAUGACUGCUAUGCCUUGCAAUCAUGCAGUCUCUGCAAUUGUGAAAGCUAAGUUGCAACCUGAAGACUUUGUUGAUGAUUUCUUCAAGAAGGCAAUGUACAAAAAAGCAUAUGAGCAUAUCAUAUUUCCUGUCCCUGGUCCAAAUCUGUGGCCAAGGACAAGAACUCAGGACAUAGAGCCUCCAGUUUUCAGAGACAAAGUUGGGAAGCAACAAACAAAGAGGAGGAAAAACCAAUUUGAGAAGCCAGCACCAAGAGAUACAUCUAGAAUGGCAUCCAUUACUUGUAGCAACUGCAAACUUGUAGGGCACAAAUACACUAUGUGCUCCAAGCCCUUGAAACCAGCUCUUGCUAUGAGACAAAACCAGCAUCAGCCAAACAGGUCACAUGCUUCUGCUUCAUCUACAACUGCUGCACCAACAAGGAAGAGGCCAUAUCCAUGUACAGCAGAUGUUGGGACUGCUCCUCCCAGGAAGAAAGCUGCACCUGCUGCAACUACACCUACUGCUCCUCCAAGGAGGAGAGCUGCACCUGCUGCUACUGCACCUACUGCUCCUCCCAGGAGGUCUCCCAGGAAGAAUGCUACCCCAGCACCUACUGCUCCUCCAAGGAGGUCUCCCAGGAAGAAAACUACCCCAACUGGUACAUCUUCUACAUCUGCUGCAGGCCAUAGGGGAACAUUUCAUGCUCCAAGACAGACUGGAAGGAAGAGGACAGUUUCCUACAAGAUGAAAGAGUACCUAUAUGCUUCUGGUAACUAG